AGUGAACGCUGGCGGUAGGCCUAACACAUGCAAGUCGAACGGCAGCACAGUAAGAGCUUGCUCUUACGGGUGGCGAGUGGCGGACGGGUGAGGAAUACAUCGGAAUCUACUUUUUCGUGGGGGAUAACGUAGGGAAACUUACGCUAAUAUCGCAUAUGACCUACGGGUGUAAGCAGGGGAUAUUCGGACCUUGCGCGAUUGAAUGAGCCGAUGUCGGAUUAGCUAGUUGGCGGGGUAAAGGCCCACCAAGGCGACGAUCCGUAGCUGGUCUGAGAGGGUGAUCGCCCACACUGGAACUGAGACACGGUCCAGACUCCUACGGGAGGCAGCAGUGGGGAAUAUUUGACAAUGGGCGCAAGCCUGAUCCAGCCAUACCGCGUGAGUGAAGAAGGCCUUCGGGUUGUAAAGCCCUUUUGUUGGGAAAGAAAAGCAGCAGGUUAAUACGCCGCUGUUCUGACGGUACCCAAAGAAUAAGCACCGGCUAACUUCGUG
rnacentral:rRNA from 1 species